CCCAUCACAGUUUUUACCAUGAAUUUUUAUAGGAUCCAAUCAAGAGACAAUGGUGGGCCUUAACCAAAGUGGUUGUCUUCUUAACCACUUAUCAUCUCUUAACUGGAUGCCAGCAAAAUCCCAAACUAAAUACUAUUGUUUUGUCUUUUUACAGAUGUCUACCCAAAAGGAGAUGAUGUCUCAAUCCAAGUUCUUGACGCUGGAUUUUUCUUCCAGUUAAGGGAUUUUUGAGAACCUUUGUAUGGUAUCAAAGGUUAAUUUUGCUUGCAUCCAAUUAAAAGAUGAUGAUGUUUGUACCAAAGUUGGAGCUCAUGAGAUUUUGCAGAUAUCCACAUAAGCAAUGAUAGUGUUUGUAAGCCAACAUGGAGAUCAUGUUUAUUUGCAAGUAUUCUUGUACGUUGUGUUGACUAACCACCUUAGUGAUCAGGGGAAUUUUGCAGAUAUGUUGUCACACUUGUGAAGAUGUCUCUAACUAAGGUGUUUUCUUUGGAUAUUUGUAGAUAUCCAGGUAAAAGUUGAUGGUGUCUCUAAUCAAGCUAAUGACCAUGGGAUUUUGCAGUUAUCCAGGCAAGAGAUGCUGUGCCCCUACCGUGAUACUGACCCUGGGCAAUUCUAAGUGUUCAGGUAAGAGAUGGUAUUUGUCUGAUUGCAUUAGUGACCAUGGAGGUCUUUGCUGAUAUGCAGGCAGAAGAUGAUUGUGCCUGUAUCUACAGUACUGACCUUUGAAUUUUGCAUGUAUCCAGGUAAGAGCUAAUCUCUCCCUUACUGUGCUAGUGGCCUUGGGAUAAUUUGGUUGUCCAGGUAAGGAGUGAUGUGUCCUUAACCAUGUUAGUUACCAUGGGAUUUUGCAGGUAUCCAGAUAGGAGAUGAUGGUGGCCCUAACCAUGGUAUUGACCAGGGGAUUCUGCAGGUAUCUAGUGUAAAAUUCUCCUUAAGGAAGCCCUGGGUCUCAGUCCUAAACUCCCAGCUAGAGACAUCGCCAAUGAAGGGAAGCAACCUAAUCUGAAUUUCAGCUCAGCUAGAAAUCUAAACUGGAAAACUUUAGAAGAAACACCUGGAAAAGCAGUGUAUCAACAUUCAAAAUGCAGAAACACAGGCAUAAUGAGAUGAUGAAAUUCAUUCAUGGCCAUUUUCGUCUAAAUCAAUGAUUUCUCAACCAGGUGUGAUUUUUUUCCCCCAGGGGACAUUUUGGCAAUGUCUGGAGACAUUUCUGGUUGUCAUGACUCACGAAGCAGGUGGAGUGAUACUGGCACCUAGUGUACGGAGGUCAGGGAGCUGCUAUAAACAUCCUAUCAGGCACAAGACCACUCAUCACAAAGAAUGAUCCAGCCCCAGACAUCAGUAGUGCCGUGGUGGAGGACCCCUGCUCUACAGCAUUACCUUGUUGGAGUGGUAUCUCCAAAUCUCCAGAUCCAGAUGGAGUUAGUGAUAUUGCCAUGGUUGACCUCAACUCCCAGCAGGUUCAACAUGGUGAUCUUUCCCACUGCUCACCCUAGGAUACCUCCAUUAGGUCUGGGAACUCAAUCUGUGCAGAGUCUAAACUCUAACAUGUUCCUUGCUGCUACACUGUUGAUUUUCUCAGAAGGUAAUGGCCGUGCUUUUAUUUUGAAGUGGUUCAGGCUCCUUUUAAUUAGGAAGACAUAGGUGCAUUUCUACUCAGAUAUAUGGGCCAGUUCAUUUCAUUUGAGUAGAAACAAAGUCAAAUGCUAGAUCAAGGAAAGAGCCCUCUGAUGAAGCCUCUACAGCACAUUGUGUUAACUUUUCCAUGCUAACUAAUGUUGAGAAAGGGGAAGCUUUGUAUUCUUUUUUUGCACCUUUGUCACAGAAUCACCUGUUGACCUACUUCUGGCAUUCUGCUUAAACCAUCGUGUGCUGGAGUCUAUAGAAAAUGCAGUCGAGGAGAGAGAGGACACGGGGGAAAGAGAAAAGAGAUAUUUUAUAACUUAAAGUGCAUGAGCAUAGACCCUCCCCUUUGUUAUUUACAAAUUAUACUAUGAAGCAAAAAUAUUGAGUGACGGUAACUUCAACCAAAAUUACAUUCAAGUUAAAAAAGACUUGGGAACCAUCCCUGAUUAUUUUCUCAUCCCAUUACAGUCAAGAUUUAGUAGACUACCUAAAAUACAAAGACAACCAGGACAAAAUUCUUCUCUUUGAGUUAAGGUCAGCAGAGAGAUAGGUCAUGAAACAGCUUUCUGAGACAGAAAGAAGAGAGGUGGUCAGGGACUGGGGGAGGGGGAAAUGGGGAGACAGUGCUUCAUGGGUACGGAGUCUGGGGUAAUGAAAAUGUUUCGGAAACAGAUAAUGGUGAUGGCUGCACAGCUUUGUGAAUGUGGUUAAUGCCUCUGAAUUUUACACUUAAACAUGGUUAAAAUUGCAAAUUUUAUGUUAUACAUACUUUGCUACAAUAAAAACAAUUAUCUGUGAAGUGCAGCAAUGGCUAUAGGUGAGAUAUAUGGAAAAGAUCUUGUGGGUAAACAGAAGAAAUAAUCAUUUAAAAACAAAAUUUAUUGAAUUCAUACUUUUUCUUAGACACUUUUCUAGGCAUUUGAUAAUCAGUGUCUCAGUCUGCGUCCUCCAAGAAGCAGAUGCCAAGAUGAAAUGAGGAAUUAAAUAUACUAGAUGUAUUGGGGAAACACCUCUGCAGGAUAAAGGGGAGGAAGCAGGAGCAGGCAGGAAGAGUCUCCAGCUGCAGUGCAAGUCUGACACCAAGGAGUAAUUGAUCCCGCCUGGGGGCCGUGGCAAAGACUUCACAGAGGAAGUAAUAUUUAAGCAGAGUAUUCUUAAAAAUAGUAAAAUAGUUCUUGCAUUUUUGGAAAAAAUGUUUUAUCUCUUUUUAUUGUCAAAACUUUGGAAAGUAUUAAAAGGAAAGUCAAAGAG
ensembl:lncRNA